AAAGUGCAGUGAGAGUUUGAGCAUUUUAACUGUAUCACUACUUUUUACCCGCUCACAACUCAUGAUAAUUUCAAUCAUCGCAAUAUAAAACAUACCAAAGUCCAUAGUAUGAUACUUCUUAAGAUCUUUUACAUAAUAUCCAAUAGUAAGAAAAAAAUAUAAAUCGAUCUUAUUACACACACAUGAAAACAAUCGAACAAAUUGGGCCAUACACGCAUAUUAGGAGAGUCACCUAGCUUUAUAUCACUCAUUUCUUACACCUCUUUCUUUACAAACAAUAAAUUCAUUCUUCAAAAUGUGAUUAAUCAAUUUAACUUGAAUUAUCACAAAUUUAGCCAAUUAUCCUAUUCUACUUCCAUUUCAAGUCGUUCCUUUGCGGUGCUUCUUGUGUCUUUAUGCUUGUAUUCAAUAAUCUCAAUAAGAAGAAAGAAAAGAGUGCAUAAAAAGAGAGCACUAAGGGAGCAUCCGCUCCUCCAUUUGGUGCCAUCCAAUAGCUCUAUUUUAUAGACAAGAUGUCAAUUAAUUUUUUAGAUUUGAAAAUUUGAAUUGAAAGGCUCGGUGAUGGCAUAUUAAUGACGUGCGGACCACUCAAGUGCCUUAACUUUGCCCAAAGGGACACUUAAGUGCCAUAACUUACGAAAGGUACACUUAAGUGCCAAAAUCGGAGUAAAAGAGAUCACUUGAGUGCCAAUCCGGCCAAUAUCCGGCCAAAACGCCAACGUGGCGUUUUUCCGGCGAAGCGCGGCCAAAACGGCGCCGUUUUGCACGUUGACGUGGCCAAAACGGCGUCGUUUCGACUGACGUGGAACAAAAUAAAUAAAUAAAUAAUUUAAUUUAAUUUAAAAUUAAAUUUAGUUAAAAUAUUUUAAAAAAUAAUAUUUAAAAAUUUAAAAAACUUUAAAAAAAANNNNNNNNNNNNNNNNNNNNNNNNNNNNNNNNNNNNNNNNNNNNNNNNNNNNNNNNNNNNNNNNNNNNNNNNNNNNNNNNNNNNNNNNNNNNNNNNNNNNCGUCAGCGUGCAAACGGCGUCGUUUUGGGCGCGCUUCACCGGAAAUACGCCACGUUGGCGUUUUGGCCGGACUUUGGCCGGAGUGGCACUCAAGUGAUCCGGUUUUUUUCGAAUUUGGCACUUAAGUGUACCUUUCGUAAGUUAUGGCACUUAAGUGUCCCUUUGGCCAAAGUUAUGGCACUUGAAGCGUUCUUUUGCCGCAUAUUAAUUUAAAACAAAUUCAUUUUACAUGGAAUUGUAGCAUGUGGUGCCAGCGUGAAAUAGAUAAAAGAUAAUAACUACGAGCAUUUAUUUAUCUCUACCUCACAUUUCCAACUUCAUAAAGAAUAUGACAAUUUUAAACAAAAUUAAAAUAUAAAGUCCCAAGUGCUUGUGCUUGAAGAGGAGAAACUCCAAUCACCAUAAAUCAUUGAGACUCUCAUUUUUGUUCUGAGAUAUAUUUGGUUUGAUGGCUUUAGGGUAAGGUGCGAAGGUGAUCCUUGAAUUGUACUGUCUUUCAAGACUUGAACACAAGUUGAUCUACUUCUAGGCGACUUCUUCUCAAAUACUAAGACCCAUCAUAGUAAUUUCAUCUCUGCAUCGCUUCUCAAGGUAAGCCAAACCUUCAUUCUCCUAUCUAUUACAAUUGAUAGGACUAAAAUAUAUUCGAUUAUUACUCAUGGCCUGAUGCCUAACAUCCUUGAAGGCAUACAAAAUAUUUCUUGUGAAAUUCCCUUGAUUUUUUUUUCAAAAUCAUCAUCACAUAUAUUGCUAAUUUUUCUUAUUAAAAUCUUCUCAUUUAAAUUAAUUGGUUAUUUUGAACCAAAAAAAAAAAAAAAACUUUAUGAAUGGUUAGACCGGUUGACUCUGGUGGAAUCACAUGCUAGCCUUAUCUUGACGUUGUUUUCAAAACACAAAACAUUAAUGGUUAACUGAACUCUUGGGACAAAAAAGCCUACUUGAUAAAAAUUGUGAAAAUACCCUUCUAGACUCAAUUUUGGUCCAUUGGCCUUAUACAUACAACAAUUGUCCAAAAUUACUUAAAGCAUGAAAGAUCCAAAUACUCAGUUUUUGUGAAAAUAUUUCUUUUUUUCUUGAAAAUAGUUAAAAAAACUAUAUUUUUCCGAAUAUUGAUGGUGCUAGUCUAUUUCCUUCUAUAAUCGUACAAAAACUUUCACAGGCUACAGAUGAGAAUUAUCAACAACAAUUUUUUUUUCGAACAGGUCAGAUCAACCAGAAAAUUUUUGGAUGUCCAUAAUACCAUUUUUCAUUUUAUCGGCAAUUUUCUUAAUUUCUAGAAAAAUGACAGAAAAUUCAAAUGUCUUCCGGAAAUUAUGAAAAAAUCACAAUCAUAGGGGGUUGUUGUGCUGGUUAAAAUGGAAAGCUUGAAAGUGAGCAAAGCUGCUGCUUUCAACAUACUUACGCAUAUUUAAUAUGUGGACAAUUUUUAGGUGGACUUUAUCUUUGUGGAUUGAAUUAGAGAAACUCAUGAUAAAGUGUGGUUUUCAUGCGAUUUUACUGCUUAGAGCAAAGACAUGACUUUUAUAUAUAUAGCGUAGGAAAUUACCAACUUACAAUGGAUUUGACAAUAUGAUUUAUGCAUGUUUAGGGUGGGAGGAGAAUUUAGCAUUUGUAGGAGUAAGAACAUCUUUGAAAAUAAUAUAAUGGAAGAUUCAUACGUCGGUUAGAGCCACAUUUAUCAGUUUAACAAAAUGGCUUCUAAGUAGAUAUGAACAGAAGCGGUCAUUCUAUUCUUACCUUUUACUAUAAAAAAAGAAGAAGCGGUCAUUCUGUACUCUGGUCUGAAUUGUGUGGCUUGACUUGGCUUGCCACCUGAACAAUUUUAUUGCUUCUAGUCUAUCAGCCAUAUGAGGAUAUCGGUCCAUCAAUUAUAAUUUGAGACUAUCGCCUACUACUAAUUGGUCCUCUCUCUCUCUCUCUCUCGUUUCUCUCUUUAUCAUUCGCAUUCGGCCUCUCUCUUGCAGAACAAUUCGAGGCUAUUGUCUACUGAUUAGUCCUCACUCGCUUCCUCUAUUCUUUAUCCAUCUUGAAAGUUCUCGCCCAAGCUUGUUUACAGUCUCCUCUCUCUUCGGUCUCGUGCCUCUCUUAGCAUCUCAGCUCGCUUGUGGUAAUCACUUUUUCAUUCUUAUUAGCAUCCCAUUUAUUUUGAUUUUGUCACUUUAUUAUUGGAAUAAUUGGCUGAACUAAGUGUGCUCUGGGCCCUUUUUGUCUAUUGGGGUUGUGGGGGUGGUUGUUGAAUAGCAGAGGAGGGUCUUCUAUUCUCUCUUUUGGAGUCGCUGUUGCCUAUUGACGAGGUAUGUCCCCAGCUUAGAUUUGACUUCAGUGAAAAAAGGAAACCCUUUUGUUUUCGACUUUAGAUGUGGCUAAUUUUAUGAUGGCCUUCCUAUCUGAUUCUUAAUUGCAUCGUAAUUCAGUACUGAUCUUUUGUUGAACUAGAGCAAAUAGGUCUGCAAGUACACUAGACUCUGUUGCACGCAAAUUUGCCACAUUUCAGUUGAAUUCAUAGACCAUUCUAUUUUUUUUUAUGCAUUGUGAGGUUUCUCUAUGUUUGAAGAUCCGAGAUCAAUUUAUGGAAAAAUAAAUCAAAAAAAUAUAAGUAGGCUGAUUCUUGGGUCAACUACUUUGGUUAUCGGUUAUAAAAGAGGAGAACCAAUCAUUACAUACUAAGUUCCUAAUUCUUUGUUGAGAACCCAUUUAUCCUGAAAUCAAUCAUCCUAAGAGUAAGUCUUCUUAAGAGAAGACUUUAUUCAAUAAUUUUACUCCCUCUAGAACAUUCCAAAUGAGUAUUUUCCUGUUUUACUCGAAUUGUUGGACCAUUAAUCCUAGAAAGUAUAUUCCCUUUCACCUCUGAUUCAUUUUCUCCCUUCUUUAGCAAGAAAAAAGAAAAAAAAAAUCAUUUUCUUACUUCAAAGCUUCAAAAAUUGACUGAGUCUUUACUUAAAAAAGGAAAAGUAAAUGAGGAAUUAAAAAGUACGGUGAGAGUUUGAGCAUUUUAACUAUAUCGCUACUUUUUACUUGCUCACAACUCAUGACAAUUUCAAUCAUCGCAAAAUAAAACAUACCAAAGUCCAUAUUAUGAUACUUCCUAAGAUCUUUUACAUGAUAUCCAAUAGUAAGAAAAAAUAUAAAUCGAUCUUAUGACACGCUCAUGAAAACAAUCGAAUAAAUUGGGCCAUACACGCAUAUUAGGAGAGUCACCUAGCUUUAUAUCACUCAUUUCUUACACCUCUUUCUUUUCAAAUGAUAAAUUCGUUCUUCAAAAUGUGAUUAAUCAAUUUAACCUGAAUUAUCACAAAUUUAGCCAAUUAUCCUAUUCUACUUCCAUUUCAGGU
rnacentral:lncRNA from 1 species